UACGUAGGGUGCAAGCGUUGUCCGGAAUUAUUGGGCGUAAAGAGCUCGUAGGCGGUCUGUUGCGUCGGCUGUGAAAACCCGAGGCUCAACCUCGGGCCUGCAGCCGAUACGGGCAGACUAGAGUUCGGCAGGGGAGACUGGAAUUCCUGGUGUAGCGGUGAAAUGCGCAGAUAUCAGGAGGAACACCGGUGGCGAAGGCGGGUCUCUGGGCCGACACUGACGCUGAGGAGCGAAAGCGUGGGGAGCGAACAGG
rnacentral:rRNA from 1 species